GGGAAACAGGGAGUUUGUUGCUGUUCAAAGGAUAUAAAGUUUCAGUUAUGUAAGAUGAAUAAAUUGUAGAGAUCUGCUGUACAACACUGUGCCUACUGUUAACAUCACUAUAUCUUCCACUUAAAAAUGUGUUAAGAGGGUAAAUCUCAUCUUGUGUUCUUAACACCAGUUUAAAGAAAAUGAAAGAAUUAAGGACAUAUGGAAACAAAAAAGAUUCGAGGGGGAAAAAAUAGGCAGCUAAUUGACAAUGCAGAGGCACAAACUCAGGUCCCCUGUUGUCAGUUUCUGUUGUUGUUUGCAAUUUUUCUGGAAAAAAAAGCACCCUUUAAAGUUUUAUUGUGUUUGUUAUUUUGUUUCAAGUUCAUAACAUAAUUUGUAAUAACUCUAUCUUAAGCGAUUCUCCGAGAACCAGUUUUAGAGACAAGAUUCGAGUAGAAGCAGUUUCUUAGGGAAAAGAUUACAGAAAACAGCAAUACUGAACAGCAGUGCUGAGAAAGGGAAAAGAAGGAAAUAAAAGGUAUGCUAUCAAGCAAGUUACAAUUGCAGAAACCUGGAGUGGACUUUUGGGGGCACCCAGGAUAGAGCAAGAAAUACACACCUCAGAGUUACUCCACCAACUGAAUCCAGAUCUCGCUCUUUAUCUCUACCACCGAGCACGGGACCAAUAGUGAAUAAACACGGCAUAAUUCACUGGAUUAAGAAAACCCAAGCAUUCUGAACUCAUCACUGGCUUGACGGACUUCUUUUACCAAAAGUAGAAAAGCUUUGUAUAUAGCCUGUCACCAAUGCAAAGAUUUUCCUUAUGGCAUGGAUUCCUAGACGCUGUUUUAGAACAAGCACUGGUCUAGAAAUAAGUUUUUACCAAUCUGUGCUAAAAUAAGAAAAAAAAAUAGUAAUUUCAAAAUUUUGUGAAACUUAUACACGUUGGAUUAAAGAAUGUGAUGAGAAUUUAA